rnacentral:misc_RNA from 1 species
GAUGAAGAACGUAGCGAAAUGCGAUAAGUAAUGUGAAUUGCAGAAUUCAGUGAAUCAUCGAAUCUUUGAACGCACCUUGCGCCCUUUGGCCAUUCCGAAGGGCAUGCCUGUUUGAGUAUCAUGAACACCUCAACUCUUCAUGGUUUUCCAUGAUGAGCUUGGACUUUGGGGGUCUUGCUGGCCUGUGGGUCGGCUCCUCUCAAAUGAAUCAGCUUGCCGGUUUUUGGUGGGCAUCACAGGUGUGAUAACUAUCUACGCUUGUGGUUUUCCACCAGGGUAACCUUCAGCAGUGGAGGUUCACUGGAGCUUACAAAUGUCUCUCCUCUGUGAGGACAGCCCUUUGAAUGUUUGAUCUCAAAUCAGGUAGGAAUACCCGCUGAACUUAAGCAUAUCAAUAAGCGGAGGA